GGAGAAGAAACACAGGGAUUGCCCCAGUAACGGCGAGUGAAGCGGCAAUAGCUCAAAUUUGAAAUCUGGCUCUUUCAGGGUCCGAGUUGUAAUUUGCAGAGGGCGCUUUGGCGUCGGCAGCAGCCUAAGUUCCUCGGAACAGGUCAUCAUAGAGGGUGAGAAUCCCGUAUGUGGCUGCUUGUCCUCGCCGUGUAAAGCCCCUUCGAUGAGUCGAGUUGUUUGGGAAUGCAGCUCUAAAUGGGAGGUAAAUUUCUUCUAAAGCUAAAUAUUGGCCAGAGACCGAUAGCGCACAAGUAGAGUGAUCGAAAGAUGAAAAGCACUUUGGAAAGAGAGUCAAAAAGCACGUGAAAUUGUUGAAAGGGAAGCGCUUGCAGCCAGACGUGCCCGUAGUUGCUCAUCGGGGGUUCUCCCCCGUGUACUCUUCUAUGGGCAGGCCAGCACCAGUCCGGGCGGUUGGAGAAAGACCUGUGUCAUGUAGCUGUUUUCGGGCAGUGUUAUAGGGCAGGUGGAAUGCAACCAGCCUGGACUGAGGUCCGCGCAUCUGCUAGGAUGCUGGCGUAAUGGCUGUAAGCGGCCCGUCUUGAAACACGGACCAAGGAGUCUAACAUCUAUGCGAGUGUUUGGGUGUCAAGCCC
rnacentral:rRNA from 1 species